rnacentral:lncRNA from 1 species
ACAACUGUUACCAGGUAAAAAUAGUAACGUAUCAUUUAUUUAUGGAAAUUAUUUCUGGGUUUCUUACUUCUAGGUAUAAAUCACAAAAUCAUGGAAACAUAGAAUGAUUUGGGUUGGAAGGUACCCCAAAGAUCGUGUAAUCAUAGAACCAUAGAAUGGUUUGGGUUGAAAAGGACCCUUAACAAUCGAUCAUCUUGUUCCAACACCCCUACCAUGGGCAGGGACACCUCUCACUAGACUGGGUUGCUGGGAUGGGGCAUCCACAGCUUCUCUGGACAACCUGUUCCAAUGCCUCACCACCCUCAUCACAAAUAAUUUCUUCCUAAUAUCUAAUCUAAGCCUACCUUGUUUUAGUUUAAAACCAUUACCCCUUGUCCUGUUGCUACACUCCCUGAUAAAAAGUCUCUCCCCAUUUUUCCUGUAGGCCCCCUUUAAGUGCUGAAAAGUCAGUAUAAGGUCUUUCGCUCUCUAGACUGAUCAACUUUCUCAGCCUCAGCCUGUCUUCAGAGAAGUGCUCCAGCUCCCUGAUCAUUUUUGUGGCCAUCCUCCUGACCCAUUUUAAAAGAUUUGUGUCUUUCUCAUGCCCCAGAGCUGAACUCAGUACUCCAGGUGGGGUCUCACAAGAGCAGAGUAGAGGGGAGAAUGAAGGUGAAGUCUGGAACAAAGAGCUCUCAAUAGAGAAAAAGAGAAGGAAAGAACCAUAUGCGAACUCCUCUACCAUUCAGUAGAUGCAUAAGGCUUUCUAACCUGGUCAUGGAAAAUUAUGAAUUCACAGCAUGUAGCCAACUUCAAUAAAGAAGCCCACAGAUAUUGAGACUCCA